rnacentral:rRNA from 1 species
GAUGAACGCUGGCGGCGUGCCUAACACAUGCAAGUCGAACGGAGAUUACGGACGGAAGUUUUCGGAUGGAAGACUGUAAUUCUUAGUGGCGGACGGGUGAGUAACGCGUGGGCAACCUGCCCUAUACAGGGGGAUAGCAGCUGGAAACGGCUGGUAAGACCGCAUAAGUCGGUUAAAUCGCAUGAUUUGAUCGGGAAAUGAGCAAUCAGGUAUAGGAUGGGCCCGCGUCCGAUUAGCCAGUUGGCAGGGUAAAAGCCUACCAAAGCGACGAUCGGUAGCCGGACUGAGAGGUCGGACGGCCACCUUGGGACCGAGACACCGCCCAAACUCCUACGGGAGGCAGCAGUGGGGGAUAUUGCACAAUGGAGGAAACUCUGAUGCAGCGACGCCGCGUGAGUGAAGAAGUAUUUCGGUAUGUAAAGCUCUAUCAGCAGGGAAGAUGAUGACGGUACCUGACUAAGAAGCCCCGGCUAACUACCUG